AGAGGUGGAACACUGUCCUUGAUCAAAAUCUGUGCGGGAAGUCACCUAGUUCCACAUUACCAGAGGCACAGGAAGUCUCAGAUCUUUUUGGGGUCAAGACUUCAGGUUUGCUUUUGUUAAAUUUGAGGAGCUUUGGAGAUCUCUCAGCAGCCAGAAGCCUCCCCAAAGAAGGUGGACGAUGAGCAAGUGAGAAAGGGAAGAAGGGGAUGAGAACUCCUGGUUGGGGGAAAAGAUGACCAGAAAGAGAAAGUAAAGCCAGAGCCAUGUGAAUCACAAAAAUGAAGACAAACAAAUAAAAAAUGAUGACAAAGACACCUCCCAGCAAAUGAGGAUUCUUCACUUACUGAGCCACCCAAGAAGCCCAAAAUAGGCUGCUGGGCAAACCAAUUAGGUGAUCACCAUGCUUCAGUUCCUGACUCCGCCCGUGCUCCACCACCAGGCUCAGGUGUGCUCCUGGAAGUAUCACUCAUUCUUCCUCCCCAGGUUGGGCUAGGUGGGUGUGUGUGUGUGUGUGUUCAGUUGCUCAGUCUUGUCCGACUCUUGGCAACCCAUGGACUGCAACCCACCAGGCUCCUCUGUCUCUGGGAUAUUCCAGGUAAGAAUACUGGAGU